rnacentral:rRNA from 1 species
UCAGGUAACAUCAAAUCGUACCCCAAACCGACACAGGUGGUCAGGUAGAGAAUACCAAGGCGCUUGAGAGAACUCGGGUGAAGGAACUAGGCAAAAUGGUGCCGUAACUUCGGGAGAAGGCACGCUGAUAUGUAGGUGAAGCGACUUGCUCGUGGAGCUGAAAUCAGUCGAAGAUACCAGCUGGCUGCAACUGUUUAUUAAAAACACAGCACUGUGCAAACACGAAAGUGGACGUAUACGGUGUGACGCCUGCCCGGUGCCGGAAGGUUAAUUGAUGGGGUUAGCGGUAACGC